GGAGCCGUAAAGGAUCCGCAGCAAAACGCUAAAUUUUUUUAUCACUGUUUAUCAUGAGGUUAUAAAUUUUCGGGCGCGGGUUCAACUCCCGCCAGCUCCACCA
rnacentral:tRNA from 2 species